UUGCUGUCCCUGCUUCUGUCACGACCCCAGGAGGUGCCCUGUGCCCUGGGCGGGCUUUGGUGGUUCCCGUUGUGGCGGCAGUGGCCUUGGAGACCCCUGGAGGCAGCGUGUGGGUUUGUCCCUCAUUCAUUCGCUGAUUCAUCCGUGGAGCAUCUGCCUGUGCCUGACACUGAGCUAGGCACUGACUCCAAAGGUGAAACGGCGGGAGCCCACUUCCUUCCCUGACUCUCUCCUCUCCUAAGGAUAAAGAGGAGGAGGCCUCUGGGGUCCCACCUUGGCCUCGCUGGGCCCCGAAGCUCCCACCCGCCGCCCUGGGACUGGGCUCUCGUCAUAGGAAGCUGGGGCUGUCCUGCUCAUGGUCCACAAUGCCGGCUGUCUCUGGGCCUUUGCACGGGCCAGGCUUUUCAUUCUGGUUGUGGCCUCACCUGUCGUCCCCGCCCACCAGCAGCCCUCCGCCAGCUCUCUUCACACUUCAGCUGCUCCAGCCCCUGUGCCUCUCCUACCCUGGUAGCCCUCCAGCCCUUGCCCCCAGGCACCUCGUUCCCCGCUUCCUGCAGUCCCUGUCGCAGUCUUGCCCGUCGUCAGCAUCCUUGUCUCCAUGCUCCCCUCCUUUUGGUGUGAUUGUCUCCUGGCCGAGCGCAGAGUUAACCCUGCAAGCCUGCUGUGCACGCAGGGAGCAGCUGCAGGCCCUGCCCCCACAAGGACCUGGGAACGAGAGCUGGCCCGGGAAGCGGCAGCUUAUUGCAGAGCAUGCGUGGUCCUGGCCCUUGGCUUCCCGGGCAGAGUCCUGCUCCUAUGCAGCUCCCGCGUUAGCUGCAGACGGGCACUAGGCGUGUCUCUGUGCAGCUCUUGCCAGGCUGUGAGGGUGACUGAGACCUGGGUUGCUGCUCUCAUGGGCUGUACAGUCUGGAUGGGGAUGGCCACCCACAAGUCCGGCAGGAGGCUGGUCAGAGAAGCAGGAGCUCUGUGGCCCCCGCUGGGGGCUUGGCUGGCAGCAACAGCCUCUGAGGAAGUGGCCUUGCAGCUGAGGUCACAGUGCAAGGAACGAGUGGGCGCAGGGGCCCCGAGGAAAGUCUGUGCUCGGUAGAGCGCCAGUGUCCUCAGGGCCAGGGAGACCCCGAGACAAUUCUGAGCAAGAGAGCGGCCAGUGGGUUCGGAUUUGUGAUGUUUGUUAUGACCAUGCACAUUAAAGUGCUACUCUGAAAAAAAAGGCUGCAGACAGAGGCCAGAGGACAUAGUAGCCAGGGCAGGACAGUGGUGGCCACGGAGAGUGAUGGAUUAGAGCCUGGGAAGGACAGUGGUGGCCAUGAAGAGGGACAGGUAAGAGUCUGGGCAGGACGGUGAUGGUGGCCAUGGAGAGGAUUGGAUAAGAGCACCAAGAUGGGGAUGGAGUGGCUGCUGCAUCCCUGUCUGCGUCCCUGUCUCCGUCUCUGGGGGCCGUGUUUGGGGGCAUCCACCCUUCUAAGUGCACGCACGGUGGGGGCACUUGAAAUGCCCCUUGGGCUCUGGCUGCUCGGGCUCCAGUGGGUCCAGUGGCUUGUCCGAGCUGGAGACAGAGAGCCCGGGUCUGCCCCCACGCCUGUUGCAUUCCAAAGCUUGGGAUCCUCCUUGACAGCUCCCGGAGCCUCCUAACAAGCCAUCAGAUGAGAUUUUGCAGGAGAAACAGGGUCGGACCUUCUGCCCCGCAGUUCGGGCGGCUUCUGAAGGAAGUGCCUUCCUCCCACGUGGUCUCACUCUCAUUUUAUCGAAUCGCAUGUCAAAAAUAACAGCUUUGGGGCCGAGGGCUUGGGUUCACACUCCGCUUCAGUGGCCCAGAGUUCACUGGUCUGGAUCCUGCGCAUGGACAUGGCACCGCUCGUCAGGUAAUGCCAAGGUGGCAUCCCACAUGCCACAACCAGAAGGACCUACAGCUAGAAUAUACAGCUAUGUACCGGGGGACUCUGGGGAGAAGAAAAAGAAAGAAAAAAAGUAGAUUGGCAACAGGUAUUAGCGUGCCUGUCUUAAAAAAUAAAUAAGUAACAGCUUUAAGCCACAGCAGAAAUACCACUAGUUUUGUCGUCACUGUAUCCGUUAGUAAUUGCUGAACAUGCUUCACUUUGCCACCUGAAACACCUGUUUCAGGUCAUCUCAGGGACUUACUCUGUGGCCUAGGGACGAAUCAUGGAGUGUGUGGGGCAGAAGCUGACCCUUCUGGUCAGACACUCAAGACUCAAGCCCACCUGCCAGGAGAGCGAGGCAUUAGGCUCCCCUUGGCUGCCGACCCUGUGCCCGGUCCCUCCACCCGCCAGCCCUGGAUUCAGGCCCGUGUCUCGCCCCUCCUGCCUCAGCGUCCUCAUUUGCCCUCAGGGUGCUGACAGGACCUGCUGCACCAGCUUUCAUGGUGAGCUGGUGCGUGUGAAGCGCUCGCACGGGGCUGGGCACCACAUGAGCACCCGGUCACUGUCGACAGCUGUCUGACACACAAGCGCGUGUGCUUCUAGCUUCAGUCACAGAAAUCUCCGUCAGAUGCCAUACAUUCCACUGACCACUGAAGGACAGAGGACACGUGGCACAUGGGAACAUUGGCAGCUGCAAGCACUCAGGGCUGCGUCGGCUGCUCACGUCUUCCGGAGAGCAGACCGAGGCAGAGAGCACAUGGCGGGGACCAGCCCACCCCAGCCCACGUCAGCUGCCAGAGCUGGCAUGCAACCCAGGGUGGGUUGACUUCCCAGCCCGACUUUCCUCCGUGAUCAUUGUCAUCAUCGUCGUCGUCAUCAUCAUCGUCUUUAUCAGCCAGAAAACAUUUCUGGUGGUAAUUUUUUGUUUCUCAUCGGUCACCACGGUUUGGUACAAUUUUUCUGGCGAUGGCUAACCUUCUCACGGCUCUUCGCCUGCCUUCUCACGGUGCUGACAGGGAACAGGGACGCCCUUGAAGCUGUUUCUGAUGGUGGCGGAGCUCCCCACGUGUUGCUACAGAAAGCACUAGAAAAUGAGCUAUUCGUUCUAAGAACACCAACCCAACCAGAACUUGUUCUUUAAAACCACAGCCUGUUGUGAAAUCAGAAAGUAUACAAGUGGGGCGCCAGCUUCUUGACGUACAGCCCGUGCUGCUGGUGUCCCCCACUCGCUGACACCGUGACGGCAAAGUCCACCUCUAUACCGGUAUCGGAACAACGCCAGGCGGGGCGGCAUCUGUUUUUCCUGUGAGUGGCCUAACUUUUGCAAGAUCCAGCAAAGUGAAAACAUUUUCUAGGGCAAAGAAUGCAACUGAAACUCAUUUCGUGAAAGUGGCUCGGCGUUGAAGGCUAACGUUACUUUCUGUGCACACAGAGGCCCAGCCUCGUCCCAGGUGUUUGACCCUCCACCCCAGUCCUGGGCUCGCUCCACAGCCCAUCUCAGCUGCGUCUUUGGUAGAAGUUGCCUGAGUGACUUACAGCCCUCGGGCUCGGUGGGACUGUGACGUGUGACCUUUCCAGCAUGGAGCACCACCUGUUUGCAGGGUCAGGGUAGGGGGGCAGGCAUGCUCUCUGUCCUGGUCCCAGGCUGUGCCCAGCGUGCACCCCGAGGAUGGUGUGACACAUGGCCCCGUGUGCUUGAGGACCGCACCCUCGCUGAGUGUGGGAGGCCUGUCUCUUUUCUCUCGUCGGCUCAUUUGCAAGAACGUCAGACGACCUCAGCUCCAUGUGGUUGCUGCUCUGACAGCCAUGUGGACACAGGGGCUGGGGUCAUGUCACAGCAUGUGUCCCGUGGCUUCCAUGGUACUGUUGGUGCACCGAGGUCUGGGAGCUCAGGCUGAGGCCACACUGCCCCCAGCGGUGUGACUUGGGCUAGGUCCUUAACCUCUCUGAGCCUCAGUUUCCCUUGUGACAUACGGGGAGGGCGCGAGGUCGUCCCUGUGCUGUCCCUGGCAGUGGCGUGGCCUGUGGUGGGGCGCCCUCACUGGGGGCUGGCUGCCGUGGUGGGGUCACCAUUCUGGGUACGUCAGAUGCGGAGUGAGCAGUGUGCGUGUGUCCUCGGGCCCCUAACAGCCCCUCAACAGCCCCCCCACCCCAAGGAGGCGCGUUGCUGCUGGAAAGUGCCAGCUUCCCACCCGACUUCGUCCACCGAAGAUUCCUCAGCUCCUGCUGAGCUCCAGGAACUUCCCACGCAGCCUCCUGUGCUGUGUGCUUUUCUCCGCUCGCUGGGGACUCCUCCCUUCCGUGCGAACCCCGCGAGGCAGCGUGACAUACUUUUUGGUAAAAAUUAAGAGCUAGAUGUUGGGUUUCUAAAGGAAAAACAUCCAACAACUCCCGUGUCAAGCUUGCUUUCUGUUUGAAGUGCAAAGCACACUGUGAACUGGUCACUGACAUUGAGCCACGCGGUCACCUCUGCUGCGGACACUGCUUGGAGAGUCCAGGUGACUGCCGCAGUGGCGCGUCCCCCACAGAGGGACGCCUCCUAGGGCAGCGUGUGGGGACGUCCGGCAGGCCUUGGGGGACAGCGGGGUCGGACGGCGGGAGCCUCCGGUGUGGGUGGGGAGUCAGCACGAGCCGUUCCUGGCCCUGGCUGCGUCCUCGGGUUUGUUGCUGUGUAAAUAAAUCAUGGAAAAUGUGA